rnacentral:lncRNA from 1 species
ACACGGAGCCGCGAGUUCUAGCGAGGUGCAGGUUCUUUCCUCCGGGCAGACCUCGAACAGUUGGACUCUGGGUUUGGUAUUAAAAAUUUGAGGACAGGGAAACUUCCUUCAGAGGCACCUGUGCUCAGAGAAACCAAAGAAUAUCGAAAAAAAGGGGAAAUGCUGACGGGGGUGGUUUUCUCAGCAAAUGGAAAUGUGACUGACCUUCAGCGACGCUGGGGAGCAAGCAAGACACCAUUCAGCAGCCACUGACCGCGAGGGCCACGGAGCCGGCCGAACCCCGGGCGCGCUCCGGGCCCGGAUCUGGAGUCGCUUCUACAUUGCAUCCCUGAAGGCAGGAUGGCUCGGCUGGGGACGUGUGAGGCGGGGAAGCCCACCAGGACAGUCCCUUUUCCGCUUGUCGUCAGCGCCGCCGGGCCGUCAGCUCGGUUCCCGCGGCUCCAGACGGGUGGCAGUGCGUGGCUCGCGCUGGGACACAGCAGUGACCAGGAAAGUGAGCUUUUCUCGGCCAAGCCCCAGGGAACGCCGAGUUGGCAGAGCAAUACCCAGGGAGAUUUGUCUCCUUGGAUACGAGGCGAGGGGAUUGAAGGGCAUCAGUUCUUCCAGAAGGGGGCGCCCAUCGGCAGAGCCCGCAGAAGAAACGGAAAUCCCCGGAGAGCGUCCAGGACACGCCUCUGCGCUUGCCACCGGCGCCUGCCGCCCCGAGCGGCGGCCCUGGGAAGAGGAUGCACCUUGGGGAUCCGAGCACAAAGGGUUCCUUCACUUCUGGAUUCGCGACUCUCCCGGGAGACCCAGGUUUGCAGAGGACUCGGUCCCGCGGGGAGAAGCAGACGCGGCAGCAAGCGUGGUGAGCGGCUUGGAGCGCACUGCAGGCCUGGCCCUCGGGAGUUCCCCGGUGUCCGUGUCUGCGAGACCGAAGCGCACCCUCCCCGGCUUCUGGCCCUUUUCCCGAAUUGCUUUGGGGACAUCAGAGGCAAACCAGGAGUUUACCAGCGACUUGGCUUUGGAAGUAGAGCUCGGCUUGAGCUUGGUUACACCGAAGUUCCUGGGAGAAUGCAUUUCCCUUGGCUGCCUGGGGCUUGCCCACGCGGCUGCCCAGGCCGAGAAAAAGGGGAGGUUACUGAAGCCACCACCGGAUUCCUGGGAGUAUUUGCCCCACAUCGCAGAAUUCCUGGCAGGCGAGUUUCAGGCUAUGACUCAAAACCUCACUGUUAUCCCUGCUUGUGAAACGCUAAAUGUUCAGAGUUCUAAAAAAUUAUACAGAAGGUCAUUUUAAUGAGCUCGGGGCAGGGAAGGAUUUCUUGCAAUAGGCACAAUGUAUAAAGGAAAAGACUGGUUACGUGUAAGGCAUUUUGGUCGUAGAAAGCAUGCUAGACAUCAUUAGUUGAAUAUUUCAAGAUGGUUAGUGGAGAGGCUGUGGAAUGCUCCAAACAGGAAUGAUGAAUUUCUGCGAUGAUAGAUAAGCCACUUAGCCUGACUUGAUCAUUGUGCUUGCGUACAUGUAAUGUCACACUCUGACCCAUCUAUAGGUAAAAUUAUUAUGUGUCAAUUAAAAAAGGCCCACCGCAAUCCAGUGGAAAAGUAACCAGAGUAGAUUGUUUUGCAGCCCGUCAUGGCGUGAGGGCUGGUAUCCAGAAUACGGAUCAAACUCUUGUAAGUCAAUAUCACAGUAGAAAAAUGGGCAAAUGACAUUCUUUUUCACAAAGAAGAAAUCUGAACAGCCAAUAAGCAGGAGAACGGAUAGUCAACCUCAGCAGGCGAAAUUGGCUGGAAGUUUGGUCUGACUCUAUGACUGAGGGCUGGGAUAUGGAGCAAGGUGUGUGUCUGUGUGUGUGUGUCUAUGUGUACGUGUGUAUCUACGCACUGCCCUUGGGGAAAUCUGGCUGGCAAUAUUUAAUAGUGCCAUUUAAUCCAUUUACUCUGUGACCCCUCCAUCCUAUCUGUAUGCAAAACGUCAUGGAAAUGUGAACCUGUACUCAAAGAGGCACUUCUGCUGACGAUUGUAGCAGCUUAAAUGCCAUAGCUGCAUGUGGAAAGCGUCGAAGUGUCCACCAGUGGUAAAACUGGUUAAAACAAAUUGUGGUAUAGUCAAGGAAAGAUAUGUACGAAAUAAUACAGAAGUAUUAAGUAAAUAAGAAAUAGGAAAUGUUAUAUGCCAAGCUGGGUUGGGUGGAGCACUCCUGUAAUUCCAGCUAAGUAAGGGCUAAGGCAGGAAGAUUCAAGCCCAGCCCUGGCAACUUUUGUGGCCUUGUCUCAAAAACAAACAAAACAAAUCAAAAAAGGAGGGUGGGAGACUGGUCACUUGUCUAAUGUGUUUCAGGCCCUGGAUUAGAUUCCCCAGUGGGGGCGGGGAAGAGGGGAGAGAGAGAGAGAGAGAGAGAGAGGGAGAGGAGGGGCACGAGCACACGCAUGUGUUGCACAGUGUACACAGGAGGGAAGAAUCUGAAAGGCAGAAUGCUGACCCAAAUCAAACACAAAGCACAUGUAGUAAAUUAUUGUAUUUGAACGAGGAUUUAAAAAUAGGCAAAAUUAAACUAUUUUAUAUAUUUUUAGGGAUACCCAGGUAAUGCAACUAUUAAAUGAAAAAAUAGAAAAACAGAGAAAGGAACAUCAGAAAAAGAAGGUGGUGAUUAUUACUAAGGAAGGGGAGGGCAAGGUUUAUCGAUUGUGAGGGCUUCUGGGAUGCCCUGGUCAGGGGGAGUUAUCCGUGUUUGCUUUAUAAUUCAUGUUUUAUACACUUUGUUGUAUGUUUGUUGUAUUUUGUACCCCUGUCCAGUAAAAAAAGCGGCAACGAUUAUGUGGAGCAGCAGUUAGGGGAACCCUCACUAUGUUCCUGGAGGAAUGGAAGGAUAAAAUUUGGCUGUCUUCAGCCAUGGGUAGUAAAGUGAACUAUGCUAACAGUAAGAAUUGUGGAUGCCACAUUGUUUCCUGUAGAGACUCUUUAACAGCCAGUUCACUUCUGUGGUAAAGAGGGUGAAUUUCUAUUUAUUUGACUGUAAGGAAAUUAUCAAGGCUUAACCUGAAACAAUGCUUCGAUUUUAUGACAGGUGCUCACCGAUUAAAUGUUAAUCAUCAUCUUUGCAUUGACUAAAUAUGUUUGUCACGGUUAGGGAUACAAUACUUAAUGCUCUUAUUUUUGUUUGUUUUCUUCUCAAAACUUUUUGUCAACAAAUAGAUUGAAGUAGAAUUCAAGUAAGUCCCUGCCCCAAAGGAGGUGUGUUUUGAGCGAAGGAGAGCCGGCUGCCUGCUGGUAAAGCCAGUAGGUGGCAGCUCCCACGCCACUUCCCUGUCCUCUCCCGGAAGGAAGUUGCUUAUUUCUACAGGGAUUACUGGAAAGGUAAUGUUCAGUNNNNNNNNNNNNNNNNNNNNNNNAAAGAAUUCUGCAAAAUUAGGGAAGCACAGGGAACUAGAAAAUUAGGAGCUAAGUUCCCAGGCAAGGAUGAACUUACUGGAUGAUUGGAAUUUUAAAAGAAUGUCACAGACAUUGCAUAAUAAAAUGACAACAAAUCCACCUUCCGAGCGCUCAAAAAAUGUAACGUGAUAAGCCCUGGUGGUCCCAGCAAAAAUAUUUCUAUACAGUUUACUUAUAUUUUGCACCUCUGCAUGCUAUAUGUGUUUAUUAUUAUUUUGUUGCAGAAAUCUCGGAAAGAAAUACACAGAGACACAGAAUUCGGAUAAAAUAAUAAAAUUUCUUUUCGCGAGCGGACGGGAAUGCCAGAAACCAGUCUGGUCAGUAUCCGAGCCUCCUUUGUUCAGCAUUUCCCUUUUUAUAUCCUUUUUAGCCAUUAUCUCAUCCCUAGUGGUCUUUGAUGUGUAAAUACAAUUCCAGUCCCUAUUUACAAGCCACGGAC